CAGAAGUAUGAAACUCCAGGUCUGGUUUGAGGAAAUUACAAAUCACUCCAUAUUUACAGAAGGAGGAACCUGGAGAUAAAAUGACAUCAGGAGAGUUAGGAACAGACUAGGAUGGAAGGGGUAUUAUUUGCCAUACUCCAUUGUCUGGACUCAGUCCUGGAGACAACAGGGGACCACCCAGGGGCUCUAUGCAAGGGAGUAACGUGGCGCCAGGGUGGAGAAGAUUUCACAGGGCAUGCCCGCAGAGGGGAGAGCAGAUGGGCAGCAACAUGGGAUACAAUGGGCAGAAGUAAGAAAUAGUGUGUGAGGGGCAGUGGCUGUGGAGACGGUUGAUUGACAAGAAUGAUAGGAGGUAGGGCUCUCUGAUUUUAAAGAAAGAGGAACUGAUGGUAAAGAUAAAAUGAGGGUAAGGAUGAAGGAGGAGUAAUUGCCUGGUUGAGACUUUAGGUGGUGUCAUUCUCAUAACAAAAUUUUUUUUUAGAAGGAAGAAGUUAUUUGGGAGAAGCAGAAAGGUGAAUUCCAUUAGGAAAAUUCCAAAUGUCGGUUACAAGUGUUAUCUCUCUCAUCCAGGUACACUUAGCAGAGGAAAACCUGAAGGGGUCCACCGAAACAUUCUGCAGGAGAAUCCAGGUGGGCUGUGGCUAAUUCUGAGCUGGCUGAUACUGGUCAAGAGAUGAGAGAUAAAAUACAAUAGAAAAUAACUCCAAAGAUGUAGAGAAGACAAUAACUUGGAUCCCCAAUUUCUUGAUGAAUUUAAGAGAAGAUUGGAGAGGUAUAAUCAGAAGGACCUCCUGUGACAAUGACAAGAAGAGGCCAAGGCAAACUAAAUCUCUGGAAAAGACCUCUAAUCAUUAUUGCAAAUAAUCAACUUGAAACUAACUGUGGCAUGGAUGAAACUACAGUCAGAAAUGAAGAAAAAGAUGUGCUGAGAUAAAUAAUUUAAGACCAACGUAAAAUGUAAGCCAAACUACCUGGAUUAAUUAUUACAUUUAAAGCCAGUGGAGAAAAGGAGUUGGAAAUAAAGGAAAAGAUGUCCCGAAACUGCCAGUAGCACAGAUCAAAUUGAGAGGCCAGGUAGGCAUCUACUUUUGCAAGAAAGGAAAAGUUGCCAUUUCCUUGAUAGUUUCAAGUCUCAG